GUGAAACUCAAUUGACUUAUUGGUUUUGCAGCUGGAGCUGAUAUGGACUUUGGUGACACCGAUUUUUCGAAACUUAACAUGGGUGGUGGUGGGGAUUUCGAUGCCGAUUAUGCUGAGGACGAUGAAGGAAAUGAUGACAGUGACGCAGAAGAGGAGAAUAUGGAAGAAGUUCCCCGCAAAACCAAUACAGAAGAAGCUGAAAUUGCUAGCGGAGAACAUGAGACAAAAGCUUAAAGCUUAUGUGAAAUGUACUUCUGGUCUGUUUUGAACUAUUUCUGUCAUUAUUUUCCGACGUGAAGUUUUACUUGGUAGGAAUACUGGUGCCCAGUUGCCGAUAAAAAAAUAAAAAUAUUGGUGCUCAGUUUUUGUUGUGCGCGUUUCCUUUUGUUCAGUAUUGUGAGUACUGAUUGUGCCUUUUUAACUCUUGUUGACUUGCUGUUAAUUCUUCUCUCCAUCAUGAUAAGGUCAUGAUUUUAUUGGAACCUGUUGGAAUAUGUGGGAAUGA